rnacentral:rRNA from 1 species
GACGAACGCUGGCGGCGUGCUUAACACAUGCAAGUCGAACGGUGAAGCGCCUUCCUUUUUGGUGGGUGUGGAUGAGUGGCGAACGGGUGAGUAACACGUGAGUAACCUGCCCCCUUCUUCUGGAUAACCGCAUGAAAGUGUGGCUAAUACGGGAUAUUCUGGGUCUGUCGCAUGAUGGGUCUGGGAAAGAUAUUGUUUCGGUGGGGGAUGGGCUCGCGGCCUAUCAGCUUGUUGGUGGGGUGAUGGCCUACCAAGGCGGUGCCGGGUAGCCGGCCUGAGAGGGUGGACGGUCACACUGGGACUGAGGCACGGCCCAGACUCCUACGGGAGGCAGCAGUGGGGAAUAUUGCACAAUGGGCGCAAGCCUGAUGCAGCGACGCCGCGUGAGGGAUGGAGGCCUUCGGGUUGUGAACCUCUUUCGCCAGUGAAGCAGGCCUGCCUCGUUUGUGGGUGGGUUGACGGUAGCUGGAUAAGAAGCGCCGGCUAACUACGUG